GGCCCGGUAGUUCAGCGGAUAGAACAAGGGACUACUAAUCCCUCUGUCGGGAGUUCGAGCCUCCCCCGGGUCGCCA
rnacentral:tRNA from 1 species